rnacentral:rRNA from 1 species
UACGGGGGGGGCAAGCGUUGUUCGGAAUUACUGGGCGUAAAGGGCUUGUAGGUGGCCAACUAAGUCAGACGUGAAAUCCCUCAGCUUAACUGGGGAACUGCGUCUGAUACUGGAUGGCUUGAGUUUGGGAGAGGGAUGCGGAAUUCCAGGUGUAGCGGUGAAAUGCGUAGAUAUCUGGAGGAACACCGGUGGCGAAGGCGGCAUCCUGGACCAACACUGACACUGAGGAGCGAA